rnacentral:rRNA from 1 species
UACGUAGGGUGCAAGCGUUGUCCGGAAUUAUUGGGCGUAAAGAGCUCGCAGGCGGUCUGUCGCGUCGGAUGUGAAAACCCAGGGCUCAACCCUGGGCCUGCAUUCGAUACGGGCAGACUAGAGUGUGGCAGGGGAGACUGGAAUUCCUGGUGUAGCGGUGAAAUGCGCAGAUAUCAGGAGGAACACCGGUGGCGAAGGCGGGUCUCUGGGCCAAUACUGACGCUGAGGAGCGAAAGCGUGGGGAGCGAACAGG